rnacentral:rRNA from 1 species
UACGUAGGGUGCGAGCGUUAAUCGGAAUCACUGGGCGUAAAGCGCGCGUAGGCGGCUUUUCAAGUCAGGGGUGGAAUCCCACGGCCCAACCGUGGAACUGCCUUUGAAACUGUAGAGCUUGAGUGUCGGAGAGGGUGGCGGAAUUCCAGGUGUAGGAGUGAAAUCCGUAGAUAUCUGGAGGAACACCGGUGGCGAAGGCGGCCACCUGGACGACAACUGACGCUGAGGUGCGAAAGCGUGGGUAGCAAACAGG